rnacentral:misc_RNA from 1 species
UUUCCGUAGGUGAACCUGCGGAAGGAUCAUUCACAUUUCGCGGACUGAUGGGAUUUUAACAUCCCCGGCCAGCAUGGGUGUACCGCGGGGAGGCCUUUGUAUCUUAUCGCUUGCUGCAGACAGUGUGUACUAUAGUCGCCAAAGGGAAGACAAGGAGCCUAUUCGUACCACAACCCUUAAUUUUUAAAAAAAUUGUCUGAAAAUCUACCGCGAAAUAACUAUCAAAAUAAAAACACCUUUCAACAACCGAUCUCUUGGCUCAAGAACCGAUGAAGAAGG